rnacentral:lncRNA from 1 species
AGUGGGAUCAUUGGGCGGUGGGCGGUGUGGAGGAGUCUCCGCUGGUCCGCAGAAACGAACGAAGGCGCGAGAAUCGGGAAGUUCUGCCUCAGUGACCUGUACGCGUCCUAGCCGCAGUGAAUGUUGCUGAACCCCGGUGACCUCACAGUGGAGGGGCGGCCCCAUGGGGCCAUCGGACCGCGCCGCGCGGGGGCGUUCGCCAGGGCCUCCGCAGAAGCCCGCCUGUGCCCGCAACCGCCCCGAAAUUCUCUCCCUGGCACCGUGUCCGCUUUACGGAGCCCGGAGCAAGGCUCAGAAAAAUGUCCCAGCCAAAAACAUGGUACAUGCCUGUCAUCAGGCAAGUCUUCAAAGAGCGGCUGGGACCAGGGGCCGAGGGACCUCGUUUAGAGGCGGCUUAGGGGGAAGGUCAGCAGUUGUGUUUCAGUUGUGUUGGGUUUUCGGCGCCCCACAAUGCGGGCGACGUAUGGGCCACAGGUGUGGAUGCCAGGGACAGGUCGCCCUGCACAUGGCUGAGGCACGGUAGGCUUGUAGUCUACCCCAUAUCAGGCCAUGGUGAUCUCAGGUAUGGGGGCCUGGGAGAGGAGAGUGAGUACAUGGCUGAGUACGUCAGAGCACGGGGUCAGGGACACAUCAGGGGAGGACGCUGGCAGGAGAAUAACCGGGCUCCUGGGUGUCCUCCGCUGAAUUCAGACGCGUUCAUGUUAGAGCAGGUGGGCCUGCGUCCUCCCGGACGAACGGAGUUCUUAGGCAAGGUCCAGAGGAGCUUCUACCUGAAGUGGUGCUGGAGAACUUUGCACUCAGUGCUGGGUGAGACCACUGGCACCAUAACUCUCCCCAGCCUCAACUCUGGUUUUUUUCCUCUGUUCUUUCCAUGUUCCCCUUGGAAGUCGCUGUUGGUCGUGGCACUGAGGCCCAGAUCAUGCCACCUCCUCUAACAAGUGGCUGAGUGGACACCCCACACAUUCUACCCAAGGGCCGUGAGUGGCCAAGAUCGGGGCUCAGAAGUCUCUGAAUCUUCACAGCUGGUCACGUUCAGCUCGGUCACUUCCUGUCUGUGUUUGUCUUGGAGUAAGGAUUAUUCUCGCUUGCUGGGGUCAUGGUGUUUUGGCCUCUCCUGGCCUGGACUCUCAAAAACUCAUCAUCCUUCAUAGGUCUGAAGGCUUCUACAUUCCCACCAGCAGGUGGACCAUAUGAACUCAAAACUAGUUGUGGCAGAGGGACCCUGAAGAGAUCUACCCCUGGUGAAUGCCCCCAGGAGUGGGCUGUUCUCACACCUGGUGCCCAGCCUGUGCCCUCGCAGGUCUUGGUGCCUCCACUCAGCUCAAUUCCAGUUUUCUGGCCAUGCCCCGCUGUGUCCCUUUCUCUCUCCUUAGUGCCUAGCUGUGCAAUGUUUGCCUCUCCUUAACAUGUCCUCAGCUGACCCCAUAUCCUCAGUCCUUGCAACCCUGUUCCUCAGUGACACCUGUGUAUUCUCUCCAGUGGAGACACAGGUGGGACACCCCCAAGCUCAUGGUACAUGCCUGUCAUCAGUACCCCUGGACUGUCAUGGUGGGUCAGUCUGCCCUAGGCUGGACUGACCAACCUGUUCAUUCCCCCACAGGAUUGCCCUUUACAGUUCAUGAGUUCCCCCAACUGGAGUGCAGACAAGAGCACUGAUUGAUGGACCAGGUAGACUUGAAACCAGGAAUAGCACAAAAGUUAUCAAAGAGGCUCAGCCAUGGAGAUUGCAAGCUGGGGAUGGAAGUAUCCCUGGAAUUGAGCUGUUCUCACACCUGGUACCUGAGUUAUACCCCUGGUGUCUGGGUACCAAGGUCACUAGCCUUGCCACUUUUCUAUGUUCCUGAUCCCCUACUAAACAGUCCACCUUUUCGCCUACUUCCCCUGACUCCUGUACCCUGUCCCCUCUUUCUGCCUAGUUUGAAGACACUGGUCAUCCCAUAACAUGUCCUGGGCUAAUACAUAUCCUCAAAUCGUUCUUGAAAAUCUGUUCCUCUUCCCUCCUCCCCCUCCCCCUCCCCCCCCCCCCGCUCUUUCCACGGUCUCCCUCUGAUGCCGAGCCGAAGCUGGACGGUACUGCUGCCAUCUCGGCUCACUGCAACCUCCCUGCCUGAUUCUCUUGCCUCAGCCUGCCGAGUGCCUGCGAUUGCAGGCGCGUGCCGCCACGCCUGACUGGUUUUCGUAUUUUUUUUGGUGGAGACGGGGUUUCGCUGUGUUGGCCGGGCUGGUCUCCAGCUCCUAACCACGAGUGAUCCGCCAGCCUCGGCCUCCCGAGGUGCCGGGAUUGCAGACGGAGUCUCGUUCAUUCAGUGCUCAAUGGUGUCCAGGCUGGAGUGCAGUGGCGUGAUCUCGGCUCGCUACAACCUCCACCUCCCAGCAACCCGCCUUGGCCUCCCAAAGUGCCGAGAUUGCAGCCUCUGCCCGGCGGCCACCCCGUCUGGGAAGUGAGGAGCGUCUCCGCCUGGCCGCCCAUCAUCUGGGAUGUGAGGAGCCCCUCUGCCUGGCUGCCCAGUCUGGAAAGUGAGGAGCGUCUCUGCCCGGCCGCCAUCCCAUCUAGGAAGUGAGGAGCGCCUCUUCCCGGCCGCCAUCACAUCUGGGAAGUGAGGAGCGUCUCUGCCCGGCCGCCCAUCGUCUGAGAUGUGGGGAGCAUCUCUGCCCUGCCGCCCCGUCCGGGAUGUGAGGAGCGUCUCUGCCCGGCCGCCCCGUCUGAGAAGUGAGGAGACCCUCUGCCUGGCAACUGCCCCGUCUGAGAAGUGAGGAGCCCCUCCGCCCGGCAGCCGCCCCGUCUGAGAAGUGAGGAGCCCCUCCGCCCAGCAGCCACCCCGUCUGGGAAGUGAGGAGCAUCUCCGCCCGGCAGCCGCCCC